rnacentral:rRNA from 1 species
UACGGAGGAUGCGAGCGUUAUCCGGAUUUAUUGGGUUUAAAGGGUGCGUAGGCGGCUUUUUAAGUCAGCGGUGAAAUUUUGCAGCUUAACUGUAACAGUGCCGUUGAUACUGGGGAGCUAGGAUUUGGUUGCUGUGGGUGGAAUGUGUGGUGUAGCGGUGAAAUGCUUAGAUAUCACACAGAAUAUCAAUUGCGAAGGCAGCUCACAAAGCCAAGAUUGACGCUGAGGCACGAAAGUGUGGGGAUCAAACAGGAUUAGA